ACACAUGCAGUCGAACGAUGAUCUCCAGCUUGCUGGGGGGAUUAGUGGCGAACGGGUGAGUAACACGUGAGUAACCUGCCCUUGACUCUGGGAUAAGCCUGGGAAACUGGGUCUAAUACCGGAUAUGACUCCUCAUCGCAUGGUGGGGGGUGGAAAGCUUUUGCGGUUUUGGAUGGACUCGCGGCCUAUCAGCUUGUUGGUGGGGUAAUGGCCUACCAAGGCGACGACGGGUAGCCGGCCUGAGAGGGUGACCGGCCACACUGGGACUGAGACACGGCCCAGACUCCUACGGGAGGCAGCAGUGGGGAAUAUUGCACAAUGGGCGAAAGCCUGAUGCAGCGACGCCGCGUGAGGGAUGACGGCCUUCGGGUUGUAAACCUCUUUCAGUAGGGAAGAAGCGAAAGUGACGGUACCUGCAGAAGAAGCGCCGGCUAACUACGUGCCAGCAGCCGCGGUAAUACGUAGGGCGCAAGCGUUAUCCGGAAUUAUUGGGCGUAAAGAGCUCGUAGGCGGUUUGUCGCGUCUGCUGUGAAAGACCGGGGCUCAACUCCGGUUCUGCAGUGGGUACGGGCAGACUAGAGUGCAGUAGGGGAGACUGGAAUUCCUGGUGUAGCGGUGAAAUGCGCAGAUAUCAGGAGGAACACCGAUGGCGAAGGCAGGUCUCUGGGCUGUAACUGACGCUGAGGAGCGAAAGCAUGGGG
rnacentral:rRNA from 1 species